AUUGAACGCUGGCGGCAGGCCUAAUACAUGCAAGUCGAGCGGAGCGGCGGACUGGUGAGUAAUGCCUAGGAAUCUGCUUGGUAGUGGGGGAUAACGUCCGGAAACGGGCGCUAAUAUUGCAUACUAUCAGAUGAGCCUAGGUCGGCUGAGCUAGUUGGUGGGGUAUAGGCCUACAAAGGCGAUGAUCCGUAACUGGUCUGAGAGGAUGAUCAGUCACAAUGGGACUGGGACACGGUCCAGACUCCAACGGGAGGCAGCAGUAGGGAAUCUUGGACAAUGGGCGAAAGCCUGAUACAGCCAUGCCGCGUGAGUGAAGAAGGUCUUCGGAUUGUAAAGCACUUUAAGUUGGGAAGCGUUACCCACGGAGUAAGCACCGGCUAACUUCGUGCCAGCAGCCGCGGUAAUAC
rnacentral:rRNA from 1 species